rnacentral:tRNA from 1 species
UCUGCUGUAGCUCAAUGGCAGAGCGCCAUCCUGAUAAGGUGGUAGUUCCAGGUUCGAGUCCUGGCGGCAGAA